rnacentral:tRNA from 1 species
GGGGCUAACUUGGCUGGGCCAGAGCCUGCUUCUAACGCAGGCGUCUUGCGGUUCGAUCCCGCUUAGCUCCACCA